GAGUUUUGAUCAUGGCUCAGGAUGAACGCUAGCUACAGGCUUAACACAUGCAAGUCGAGGGGCAGCAUCAUCAAAGCUUGCUUUUGAUGGAUGGCGACCGGCGCACGGGUGAGUAACACGUAUCCAACCUGCCGACAACACUGGGAUAGCCUUUCGAAAGAAAGAUUAAUACCGGAUGGCAUAGUUUUCCCGCAUGGGAUGAUUAUUAAAGAAUUUCGGUUGUCGAUGGGGAUGCGUUCCAUUAGGCAGUUGGCGGGGUAACGGCCCACCAAACCAACGAUGGAUAGGGGUUCUGAGAGGAAGGUCCCCCACAUUGGAACUGAGACACGGUCCAAACUCCUACGGGAGGCAGCA
rnacentral:rRNA from 1 species